rnacentral:misc_RNA from 1 species
GAUGAAGAACGCAGCGAAAUGCGAUAAGUAAUGUGAAUUGCACAAUUCCGUGAAUCAUCGAAUCUUUGAACGCACAUUGCGCCCCCUGGUAUUCCGGGGGGCAUGCCUGUUCGAGCGUCAUUUCACCACUCAAGCCUCGCUUGGUAUUGGGCAACGCGGUCCGCCGCGUGCCUCAAAUCGACCGGCUGGGUCUUCUGUCCCCUAAGCGUUGUGGAAACUAUUCGCUAAAGGGUGUUCGGGAGGCUACGCCGUAAAACAACCCCAUUUCUAAGGUUGACCUCGGAUCAGGUAGGGAUACCCGCUGAACUUAAGCAUAUCAAUAAGCGGAGGA